GACGAACGCUGGCGGCGUGCCUAAUACAUGCAAGUAGAACGCACUUGCGAACGGGUGAGUAACGCGUAGGUAACUGCCUGGUAGCGGGGGGUAACUAUUGGACACGAUAGCUUAUACCGCCUACUACCCGAUGGACCUUCGUUGUAUUAGGUAGUUGGUUAGGUAACGGGUCACCAAGGCAAAGAUACAUAGCCGACCGGAGAGGGUGAUUGGCCCCACUGGGACUGAGACAAGGCCCAGACUCCUAAGGGAGGCAGCAUGAGGGAAGUUUCGGCAAUGGGGGGAACCCUGACCGAGCAACGCCGCGGGAGUGAAGAAGGUUUCUGGAGCGGAAAGGUCUGUUGUGUAGGAAGCGGUACUUAACCAGGAAGGGACGGCUAACUACGUGCCAGCCGCCGCGGUAAUAC
rnacentral:rRNA from 1 species